UACAGAGGUCCCGAGCGUUGUUCGGAUUCAUUGGGCGUAAAGGGUGCGUAGGCGGCGGGGUUAGUUUGAUGUGAAAUCCCGGGGCUCAACCCUGGAAUUGCAUUGAAUACUACCUUGCUAGAGUACCGGAGAGGAAACUGGAAUUUACGGUGUAGCAGUGAAAUGCGUAGAGAUCGUAAGGAAGACCAGUGGCGAAGGCGAGUUUCUGGACGGUAACUGACGCUGAGGCACGAAGGCCAGGGGAGCAAACGGG
rnacentral:rRNA from 1 species